CGACGAGGAGUGAAACGAAACGGGAAUAUGAGCGCGGCAGCACGAGAGGAAAUUAGGGGCACCUGUUGUACCUGGCUGUGCCCGGCGUGGCUAAACACUCGACGGACAUUGGGUCGUGCGGGACGUCCCUGGUGAGCGCGGGCUCAGCGUCGCCAUUGGAGUCGGCGUGCAGCCCCAGAGACACGGACACCGCCUUGCAGAGUUCCCGGGCUGCCUCGGACACUGGGACGCAGCGAGGGACUCGAUGACAGCAAAACUUCUCCGUGUCACACGACAGCACGGUGGAACAGGGGUUACUGCUGGUGCCUCACAAUAAGAAGGUCCUGGGUCUUUCUGUGUGGAGUUUGCAUGUUCUCCCCGUGACUGCGUGAGUUCCCUCCGGGUAAUCCGGCUUCCUCCCAUCUCCAAAGACAUGCACCUGGGAAUAGGCUGAUUGGCAACACUAAAUUGGCCCUAAUGUGUGAACCUGAGUUUGAAUGUUGGUCUGUCUAUCUGUGUUGACUCUGCAAUGAAGUGGCGACUUGUCCAGGGUGUACCCCGCAUGCAGAUGGCAUAUGAUCCAGCCACCCCCCGUGACCUCGAAAGGGACAAGCGGUAGAAAAUGGAUGGAUAGAAGGGUGUCCUCAACAUUGUGCAAUACAAUACACACAUAAUGAAAAUAUGAU